UAUAUCUUUUUGAAUUGUAGUUUUGUCUGGAUAUAUGCCCAGGAUUGCUGGAACAUAAGGUAGUUCUAUUUUUAUUUUAUUUUAUUUUAUUUUAUUUUAUUUUAUUUUAUUUUAUUUUUUAUUAAUAAAUGAAUUUAUUACAUUUAUAGUUGUGCAAUGAUCAUCACAAUCUAAUUUUGUGGGAUUUCCAUCACACACCCCCAGUGCAUCAUACCACCCCCCAAACUUUCUCCUUUGGAAACCAUGAGUUUUUCAAAGUCUGUGAGUGGUUUUCUGAGGAACUUCCACACUGUUCUCCAUAGUGGUUGUACCAAUUUACAUUCCUACCCACAGUGUAGGGGGGGCUUUCCUUUUCUCUAAAAAUACUUUUUAUAAGUUAAAAUAUGAAACAAGUUCAUCAGUUUACUUCUUAAGGGAGACUGUCUAAUGUAAAAUGACCCAAAUAAGUCAUUCUACUUGACUGAUAUCCUUGUUUUGAAUAAAUUAGAAUUCUGGUUUCUAACUUUAAAGGGGAAAGGAGGUGAAAAUUAUUAAUAUUAGUGGAGUGGUUGGAGUUUUACAGUGAACAUGUAUUUAACACCUUUGGUUUUAGAAUGGAAUUAGAGACCAUACAACUUCUUCCAAACAGACACCACUUGGUAGAAAUAGAGCAUCUGAAGUCUGGAGGGAAACCCAGGCAUACACUUAGCCACCUUUGGCUCUGAGAUGGACCACUGUAAGCCAUCAGGGAUAGGGUUAGGGUCUUCUUUUUAAAAUCCUUGAGAGAGAAGAAUCUGACCCUCCCCAGAAUUUGACCAUUGAUAGCCCUCACUGUCAUUUGUCAGGAAGUCAUCUUGAGCUACCAGGCACCUGGAGAAAUCUACUGUCUCUUACCUGUCAACGCUGAUGCAGAGGAAGCCCCUCUCUCGGAGGGUGCUUCACAUCAUCCUAGGAGGACCCACGUUAACACCUGGCCACUAACUUCCCUUCCUCCUUUUCCCCUUAUUCUCCAGCCCUUUCCUCAUUUGGGAUCUUCUUCUCUUUGGUUUCCUGUUGGUUUUUUGUCCCUCCACUGCCUUGAAGGGCUACCAGUAUUGGGAACAAGGUGUGAGUCCCCUGAUGGACUCCCACCAGCCCCACCCUCCUGGCCACUGUUUCUGUACUUGCACUUCGCUGACUCCAAGGCUCUUUCCACUCCCCGCCAACUCCUUCCAAAGUCCCACAAUAGUCUUCCACCCCUCUGCUCAUUUGGAAACUGCCAGUGCACUGUCAAGCCUUGGUUGGCUGGGUCCUGCAUUUCUAGUUUCCACAGUGUUGGGAGAUGAUCCAGAAAUAAAUUUAUGAUCACAAACACCUUGGGCUGUCAGAGGACACAUGUCAUGCCUGGGAGGAGGGCCAAGAUGGGCUCCAGGUGAGAGGUUAGACCAUGUGGAGGGAGUCGGGCAGCCUGUUUGGCAGGGGGGCAGUCUGUAGAAUGCCAGCUUUCCCCCACAUAAGCCAGGACUAUCGAGGAAGUGAGGUCAAGUGGAAAAGUGGAGAGAAUAGAGAGAAGAGGGGUAGAGGAGGGAGGGAAGUGGGAUUAAAAAAAUCAGCAGCCAUCCCUCUGUGCGUACACUGAAAUUUGCCAGCCUGCUGUCCAAACUUGACAAGUAAUGGGCUUCCACUGGGGAGAGGACGGAGGAGGGCUGCUCUGAAUCUCCCCUCCCCCAACUCCUCUAUUCAGUUAAGUGGCCCUCCUCAGGGUUUAUGGUGCCAUAGACAGAGUUCUGUGCUACCCUUCUAGCCCUGUAAUACAGUUUUCAAUUCACAGACCAGUAGACACACUUGACUUGCUCGUAGGCUCCUGAAGUCAGGACAUGUCCUUUUGGUUUCUGAUUCUCCAUACCUCAAACUUUACGCAUCUCAAUGCUUGCAUCUUUACAGGGGCUUUGACAGGCCUUGUGCGUGUGAAUGGUUCUGUGUAACCUGGUGAGGGACAUAAAAGGACAUCAGGGUGCCCUUUGAAAAACCACCAAAGUAUCCAGCCUUGUUGCCUCAUUGAGAAUUCACCAGACAGCACAAAACAAGCUAAAUCAUGGAAUAAUAACACUGUAGCCUGGACAGUAAUGAAUAUGCAAGCAGCAUAACAGGAUGAGGAACUAAGAAAGCCACCUAUUGUGGAGAGUUUAAUCUUCCCUGCAUGAAAGAUCAAGGGCAAAGGCACAAAAAGAUCGUGCUCCUUUUGAAAAAAAGAGGGGAUAACUGGCUACCAUGCAACGGGUGAGUUUAGGGGCAUGUUCAGUCAUUUCAUUUAUGGUCCAGCAAUUCUGAAAGAUGGCAGGCCUUGGUCUUUGGAUACUAUGGGAGGUGUCUUCCACCUGGAAAACAUAUCUGGACCCCAUGUUGCAUCUGUGGUGCCUGGUAUCAAGCUGCCUCCACAUUUAUUCCAAAGCACUUGGAAAGGACAGGAUGGACAUAUGAGGAAUUGCAAGUAGAUCUGUUCUCUCAGACUGAAGUAAGGCAUUAGAAUGUCAACUGUUGCAGCUGGAGAGCAGCCAGCAAAUUAGGAGGCCACAGAAAAAUUUUGUCAGUUUCUUAAAAUAAUUUAUGCCAGUUCACAGUUUAUACAGAGUAUCAAAUCUGAAGGUACCCUAAGGUUACCCAGUUUAACUCCUUCAUCGUGUAGAUGAAAAAAUAAGGCUCACAGAAGAAUAGUGACUUGCCUAGAUGACAACAUUAUUGGUCCUUAGAGCUGGAAUUGAUGGUUCCUGUUUCUUGUAUCAGUGAUUAUUCCAAUAUUAUACCAAGCUGUGUUUCUAUCCAGAACAUUUUUGUAAUGCUAAUUAAGCUGGGUUGUUUUGGUGAACUUGGCCAGUGUUUAUCUUUGAUUUCACCAAGUGUAAAUUUUUUUUUUUUUUUUUGCCUAUUUUAAGGCCGCACCUGUGGAAUAUGGAGGUUCCCAGGCUAGGGGUCGAAUCGGAGCUGUAGCUACCGGCCUAAACCAGAGCCACAGCAAUGCCAGAUCUGAGCCGCUUCUGCAAACUACACCACAGCUCAUGGCAACACCGGAUUCCUAAUUCACUGAGCGAGACCAGGGAUCAAACCCACAACCCCAUGCUCCACAACGGGAACUCCCCUCACCAAGUGUAAUUUUAAAAGGUGUGUGUUGGGAGUUCCCGUCAUGGCACAGUGGAACGAAUCCGACUAGGAACCAUGAAGUUGUGGGUUCCAUCCCUGGCCUCACUCAGUUGGUUAUAUCUACUGUAUAAUACUGGUGUUUGAGUCGCUGGGCCUUUUCCUCAUGGUUACAAGAUGACUGCUGUGGUUCCAGCCAUUAUAUUUGCAUUUGAUGCAGGGAGGAAGAGGUGGAGCCAACUGCAUCUUCCUGGUUACUAGGAGAGAAAAUGCUUUUGUAAAAAUGCCCAAGAAGUCUUCUGCUGGACUCUUAGUGGCCAGAAUGGAGCCAUGAUGUAAAAAUGAGGGACACGAUGCCCUUAACUGGCUUAGACCAAUCACUAUCCAUUCUCUGGAGCUAGACACAUAAUCAGGGUUUUCUCAUACUAAGGAAGAAGAAGGAAGUAGCUCUGAGUAUUCCAUAUCACCCUGACUAUCAGGGUCCCUCGUGUAUGUAUGAUACUUUCAGAGUACGAGCUUGGUGGGCAAUGGGAUUUUUUUCAGUGUCUGAUUCUGAAAUCUUUUUUAUAACUUUAGUGGGAGAUUAUUUUUGUAUCAAAGGGCUUAUCUGAGGAUAACAAAGCAAUUCCAUUGCCAGACAUUUAUAGAACUCCACCUGAGGAACAGUAAAUGUCUGGAACACUUUUUACCUGCAGUUGUAGUUCAGCUUCUAAACCAAGGGUAAAGGAGAAAUUUUAUGAAGAGUUCAUUAAAAGUAAAUACUCAUGAUAUAAAAACAAUUUAAAAUGUUAUUUGUGCCUGAAAUUCAGUGAUGCAUCACAGAUUUUAGGAUUUGUUCAACAAAUAUUUAAGAACAGUUAUAGUUGACCCUUGAACAAUAUGGGUUUGAACUGCAGAGAUCUACUGAUAUGCAGAUUUUCAUCUUCAUGGAGGGUUAGCUCCCCUAAUCCUGGAGUUGUUCAAAGUUAUCUGUAUAUGCUGGGUUCUUUUAAAGGCAUGUCAAUCAACAUCAACUAACAAGAAAAAAAAA
rnacentral:lncRNA from 1 species